CCUACGGGUGGCAGCAGUGAGGCAUAUUGGUCAAUGGACGAGAGUCUGAACCAGCCAAGUAGCGUGAAGGAUGACUGCCCUAUGGGUUGUAAACUUCUUUUAUAUGGGAAUAAAAUGUUCCACGUGUGGGAUUUUGUAUGUACCAUAUGAAUAAGGAUCGGCUAACUCCGUGCCAGCAGCCGCGGUAAUACGGAGGAUCCGAGCGUUAUCCGGAUUUAUUGGGUUUAAAGGGAGCGUAGGUGGAUUGUUAAGUCAGUUGUGAAAGUUUGCGGCUCAACCGUAAAAUUGCAGUUGAAACUGGCAGUCUUGAGUACAGUAGAGGUGGGCGGAAUUCGUGGUGUAGCGGUGAAAUGCUUAGAUAGCACGAAGAACUCCGAUUGCGAAGGCAGUUCACUGGACUGCAACUGACACUGAGGCUCGAAAGUGUGGGUAUCAAACAGGAUUAGAUACCCCAGUAGUC
rnacentral:rRNA from 1 species